GAUGAACGCUGGCGGCGUGCUUAACACAUGCAAGUCGAACGGAAAGGCUCCUGCUUGCAGGGGUACUCGAGUGGCGAACGGGUGAGUAACACGUGGGUGAUCUGCCCUGCACUUCGGGAUAAGCCUGGGAAACUGGGUCUAAUACCGGAUAGGACGAUGGUUUGGAUGCCAUUGUGGAAAGUUUUUCGGUGUGGGAUGAGCUCGCGGCCUAUCAGCUUGUUGUUGGGGUAAUGGCCUACCAAGGCGUCGACGGGUAGCCGGCCUGGGAGGGUGUACGGCCACAUUGGGACUGAGAUACGGCCCAGACUCCUACGGGAGGCAGCAGGGGGGAAUAUUGCACAAUGGGCGCAAGCCUGAUGCAGAGACGCCGCGUGGGGGAUGACGGCCUUCGGGUUGGAAACUCCUUUCGCUAGGGACGAAGCGCAAGUGACGGUACCUGGAGAAGAAGCACCGGCUAACUACGUG
rnacentral:rRNA from 1 species